rnacentral:sRNA from 1 species
AAAAGUACCUUUAGCCCUGGUGUUGGUGCUGGCCUUUGUGUCCUCAAAUUUGCUUUUUACCAACACGUACACUUCCAAGUAUUUCCCCCCUGGUAUGCCAUCUGUUUCUUUGCAAUUGGGAUGGUUGAAUAAUUUCCUGAGGAAUUGCUGACAAGUCGUGGCAGCAAGGACCAGGUUUCUCAUUAAAAUUGCUAAGCUCAGCUGUGUUCCUGCAAGCCCUUGAUUUAAGGUGGUCACCCUGGCUGGGAAGGUCGGUGGAAGCAGUUACCCAGUGACAGCGACAGGACUCGAGAUCUGCAUAGACGUCACGCGAAAGAGUCCAGGUACAGGGCAGCUCAGGUGGUAAAGUGCCACUUAUCCCAGAGGGGUGAUUUUGGGGGCUGCAGCUCACACAGCUUAAGACAGACUCCAGCCCUCUAGACCCAGUGUGUGGACGGCUGGAGUACGUGUUUCCUGUCUUGGAAUUUUCCAAGGUAUUUAGCAUAGUCUAAUGUUUGUCUUCAGUUGUUCUUAACUGUUCUCAACAGGGGGCAGCUAGACUCCCCUAGAGUCCCAGAGUCCCAAGCAGAUGCUUGAUAUAUGUAUCAUAUAUAUAUGUAUAUAUAUAUAUAUGUUCUCAUUUAAUGCCCUCAAUAACCCCAUAACAUAUAUUAUUCUAUCUAAUUUUUAUUUUCAUUGUAUAGGUAGGGAAACUGAGUCUCAAAGCACUUCAAAAGUUUCCUCCAAACUCAGAGUUGGGAAGCCGAUAAACCAGGGGUUCUAUUCAGUUACCAGCAUGAAGUUCGUGGAGACUAUCCCCCUCCCCCGCCCUCGUGCCCUCCCCAUAGAGUGGUUUAUCCUGAAGAACAGUGAACUAGUAUGAGAAGAGGCACGCCAGAGGAGAUGGUUGGAGACAGAAUUCCUGCUCCCAUGUCAAACCCACUGAAAGACAGGUUGGUGGGUGCGGGGAGGUUUUAACAAGCUCCCUGGUGAUUCAGAUACAUGCUAAAAUACGAGAGCCACUGUCCCACAGCAUAAUAAAUGUUAUUUAAUUAAUUGCUUCAUUAAAUAUUGAACAGCAGAAGUCAUUAUAAAGCUCCGAGUGAAGUUGGCUGAGAUUAAAAGGAAAACGGAAGUGCAGCUGCGGAGGUGGGGAUGGGGCUGAGGACUGGAGAAUGGGCUUCUCCAGGAUAAAUCCCAAUUCCAGUGCAGUAUCAAUGACGGCCGCGAACCGAGCCAACCCUGUCUGACUUCCUCCUCUCACAGUUCACUUAAUCCAGUUGGAGGGGUCCUCACACACCCUCUGGGCCUAGUCUGUUCUCUCUCUUGACCGACGAACCAGGUGUUUUAUGUACGGUGUAUCAUAAGCACUGCACACAGUGAGUGUACAAUGCACACAGUGGGUGUACAAGAAGUACUUCUGUCAAUGAAAUAUUCCAGGUCAUGUUUCUGCUCAGAUUUUUUUUUUUACCACGUUUGGGAUGGUGUCUCUCAGACACGGGAUCCUCCAAUCUACUGCUCUCGAGUUUAGGUUAUAUAACAUCUCUGUUGAGAUCAGCAAAGUUGGUGAAAUAAUGCUGAUAGGGAAUUCUUUGGAAUAACAGGUCUCAAGUGGCUGUAGGAUGAGGAGGGUGCUGAUAGAGUUUAAGGUUCCUCCAGAUGCAUGAGAGCCAACCUACAUUUUCCCCCGUCCCUGUACCCUUCUGCCAUUCUCUAAACUCCCCCUGUCCCUGUGCCCUUCUGCUGUCCUCAGGCUCCACUCAGAAGGACCCCUGAAUGACUUAUCUCUAUUUCUCAGUAGGAGGAUGCAUGUUGCAAUGACUGCUGUACAUCUUCACAGAAAGGAGGGCUCAAGUUUUUGCUCAGUUUCUCAUUCUCAGUUUCAAAGUGGAGCUAGUUCAGGUCUAGCUAACAGGUCUAGUUCAGGGCGGGUCUCAUUGACAAGGUCGGUGGGCGGGACUAAGGCAGUGUAGCCUAUAGGGGAGCCAACAUCUUACAUCUGCUGGGAAUGAAAAGUCCUACCUUCUCGGUAGAUUCGGAGGGACAAUUAAGCAUGGAUACCAAGAGAGAAGGCCAUGGAAGAGCGACUGGAAAACAUUUCCAAUGUUGGUUGUUCAAUAAAUGGAGAGGACUCCCUCUGCCAUGGUCCUAAACCUGUUUCUUCUCUAGGUGGAAGAAAACAGAUUGUUAGCAGGGAGGAGGCCGUUCUGGAGACACCGCUUUGCAUAGAAAGAAUUUAAUGGAGCCUACAGAAUUGGUAGCAGUUCUCUUUCCCUUUGAUGUAGCCUACUAAGAUCGGAGAAACAAGUCACACAAAUCCACAAAACCCAAAACUAUGAGGUGUUUCCUUGCAUCUUUUUAGAGGAAAGAUAAAAACUGACACCUCAGCAUUCUUGCAUUCCCGGCUAUUGGUUGGGAAAUACCAAGACUGACAUGCCUUGCAGUUGGAGGGAGAAACAGUGUAUUCUGGGAAAGGAUUGAUGCCUUCUUUCAGACACUGUGAUGCAACAUUUGAGUGUUGUUUAGAUUUCUCACUGUAGACUCCAGAGGUAAAGAAGGAGGUGCUUUCCAGGUAAACUAUGUAGAAAUCAUUCUGGGGACAGUCAACACCAGGGACCAGAGCUCUCUGGAGCGACAGGGCCGCUCCUGCAGAUUUCAUGGCUUCCUCUUAUCUCUUGUGUGAGAGCCUUGCAAUUCUUCAGUGCGUUUCCUCUGGGAUGGCAAGAACGGAGAUUUCAACAGCCUUUGUGUCUUUCCAUCGUCUAUUGCUAACCCACCGGGGACUCUUAACCAUUGUUAGUUAAAAGCUUAAUAACUGUGUUCGGUUAAGAUAUAAUUAAAUAUGUGUUAAUUGCCUCAGUUUAUUCCA